UGGGUUUGACAUGCACAGGACGCUCGUAGAGAUACGGGUUCCCUUGUGGCCUGUGUGCAGGUGGUGCAUGGCUGUCGUCAGCUCGUGUCGUGAGAUGUUGGGUUAAGUCCCGCAACGAGCGCAACCCUCGUUCCAUGUUGCCAGCGGGUAAUGCCGGGGACUCAUGGGAGACUGCCGGGGUCAACUCGGAGGAAGGUGGGGAUGACGUCGAAUACGUAAC
rnacentral:misc_RNA from 1 species